AUCGGCUUUUUCAAACCACAGCAGAGCCAACAGGACAGUAUUCCAUAACUAAAUAUACCCCAGAUGUUUUAGACAACAACUAUCAUAAUUCCCAGCUGGACACAUCAUUAAGGAGCCAGCUCCUUUGCUACCUUGGCAACAGCCAUCCCAACAGCCAGCCAUCGAUUUGAAACAAAAAGAAAGAAUAAGAAAAACAGAAGUUGAAUUUACAAAACAAGAUUACACAAGGGAAUUUCUUUCUGUUACUUAAUUAUUCUGAUAAAGAAUAAGGUAACC